rnacentral:tRNA from 1 species
GGCUUCAUAGCUCAGUUGGUAGAGCAUCGCACCAGUAUUCGCGGAGGUCACGGGUUCGAAUCCCGUUGAAGCCC